rnacentral:lncRNA from 1 species
AGCGCGAGUACCCGUGGGCGUGCGCGCGUGGGAGGCGGCUGCACUCUUCCUGAGGGGGCCCAGCGGCUCCAGAGGAUUCCCCGGUCCAGCCGGGACGCGCACCGGCCGUGGACUGGGCCAGGGCGCGCGCGAGGAAGCGGCGGCGGCGGGAACCCGGGACCCCAGGCCGCGCAAGACAGCCCCGAGGCGCCUCGCCCACGCUCGCGCCCCUCCCCCCUCCGCUUCCUUCUUCUGCUCAGCGCGCCGGAGAGCGCAGGCCGGAUGCGAACCCGGGCCAGCCUAAGGUCGUUCAACUUGGCGGCUCCCGGCCUGCUGCCCGCGCGCUACUUGUGAGGCGUGGCCGGGUGAAGGAGGCGCUUGGGGGGCGUGGGGCUCCCCAGCUGGCGGCGGCGACCGAGAGGGCGCUCGGGACAAUGAGCUGGGCAGCUGCGCGCUGCGGCCG